AUCUAAGUAGCUUAUAAAUAAGAGUAUAGUUUUGAAGCAGCUAGGGAAAUUAAUUUAAUUCUUAGAUA
rnacentral:tRNA from 1 species